rnacentral:rRNA from 1 species
GACGAACGCUGGCGGCGUGCUUAACACAUGCAAGUCGAACGGUGAAGCGCCUUCCUUUUUGGUGGGUGUGGAUGAGUGGCGAACGGGUGAGUAACACGUGAGUAACCUGCCCCCUUCUUCUGGAUAACCGCAUGAAAGUGUGGCUAAUACGGGAUAUUCUGGGUCUGUCGCAUGAUGGGUCUGGGAAAGAUAUUGUUUCGGUGGGGGAUGGGCUCGCGGCCUAUCAGCUUGUUGGUGGGGUGAUGGCCUACCAAGGCGGUGACGGGUAGCCGGCCUGAGAGGGUGGACGGUCACACUGGGACUGAGACACGGCCCAGACUCCUACGGGAGGCAGCAGUGGGGAAUAGUGCACAAUGGGCGCAAGCCUGAUGCAGCGACGCCGCGUGGGGGAUGGAGGCCUUCGGGUUGUGAACCUCUUUCGCCAGUGAAGCAGGCCUGCCUCGUUUGUGGGUGGGUUGACGGUAGCUGGAUAAGAAGCGCCGGCUAACUACGUG